UUUCUCCUUUGUUAGCAAAGCAAUAAACCUCCCUUUUUCUUUUUCUCAAAACCCUGUCCUCAUUAUUAAAUUGGCAUUAAUUGGCUUCAAGGUCAGGAACUAAACUUUCAGUUACAAAUUUUGAUACCACCACCACCACCACCACCCCCUCGAACUUUUUAGUGCUGAUUACUGAAAUGUUAGGAGAUGGAGCGUGCCUGUGGUGGAACCGAACCAGAGGAGCUAAUCCUGUAAGUAAAAGGAGGGACUGAGGGACUCCCAGCAGCUGCUGAAGCCCUGUUGCUUUGGGGAAUUCCCGCAUUCCUUCCUUGCACUGUAAGGAUUAUGCCACCUCUGUCUUCUUAGAAAAGAGAAAAAGAAAAAGGGGACACUUAAUGCAGCAAAGUCACCAUGGAGACCCUUGAUUUUACAUUUCAGGUUGCCCCUCUAUGAAAACAUCUGGUCCCCUUGUGGGGACAUCUAUGGUGCCACUGGUGUAGGAGAUUUUUCUCUUAUCUGCUCUGUUUUAAAGGUUUCUGUCUGUCAGCCAAAGUCUGGACCUCCUUUCUGUCUGUCCUGUGUCUUUGUUUCUGGCCCUUUAAGACAUGUGCAAUAGUGUGUUGAUAUUAUAAAUUGUUUCUUGGGAAUGAUCUUGGCUGAAUGUGUGUCUAAAAAAUGAUGUUUUAUUGUAACAAUCUGGUAUUUG
rnacentral:lncRNA from 1 species